rnacentral:rRNA from 1 species
UACGAAGGGGGCUAGCGUUGUUCGGAAUUACUGGGCGUAAAGCGCACGUAGGCGGAUUUGCCAGUCAGGGGUGAAAUCCCGGGGCUCAACCUCGGAACUGCCUCUGAUACAGCAAGUCUUGAGUCCGGAAGAGGUGGGUGGAAUUCCUAGUGUAGAGGUGAAAUUCGUAGAUAUUAGGAAGAACACCAGUGGCGAAGGCGGCCCACUGGUCCGGUACUGACUCUGAGGCUCGAAAGCGUGGGGAUCAAACAGG